rnacentral:tRNA from 1 species
UACCCGGUGGUGUAAUCGGCAACACAUGGGUUUUUGGUACCCAUAUUCCAGGUUCGAGCCCUGGCCGGGUAG